rfam:Orchesella cincta Ocin01_Sc1303, whole genome shotgun sequence.
CUUUUGUAUGUACAUGCUGUACUAAAAUUGGAACGAUAUAGAGAAGAUUAGCAUGACCCCUGCGCAAGGAUAACAAGUACUAUGAGCAAAAGCUUAUGUGUAUUU